CAGGAGGUUGUAAAGUUUAUGACCAAACCAGAAGAAACUAUAGUCCUGCUGGAGACCCAAAGAGACGGGAAACGGUACCUUGUUGUCAGCUGUGGAGAUGAAAACAUUUACUUUACUACUCAUGACGUCCUGGAAGGAGGAGUCCUGAAGACACUGUAUGAGGCCCCUAAAGACAAUCUGGGGGGGAAAUAUGUGGAAGGAAAAUUCAAAGAGUUUCUGAGAGAAAUCUUCUCUGAUGGAAUCUGGAAUAAAUAUGAACAAAACUUCCCUAAUGAGAUUCAAAAAAUGAUGUAUGAUUUUACUCGUCUCAAACAUUUAGGUGAAGAUGUUCAGAUCAGUUGCCCAGAUAACCUGAGAGACGAGGCUCAGAAAAACAAAGAGAUUGAAACGUUCUUUGAUUCAGUGGAAGGAGCUUCCUGGGAUGAUGGAUCUAUCAGAAUCUCCUGGGAAAAAGUCAAAUCUUUCUAUGAUGAGAGUCUGCAGGGAAUCACCAAGAAACUCAGAAAAAUAUUAAACAAAAAUCUCAACAUUGGGUUUAUUGUGUUAGUGGGAGGAUUUGCUGAGAGCCAGAUUCUAUAUCAGCACAUCACUGAUCAGUUUGAACCUCAGUAUAAAGUCCUGUGUCCUCUUAGACCCCAGGAAGCGAUCCUGAAAGGAGCCGUAGAGUUGGGGAGAAACCCGAAGUUGGUGGAGUCUCAGA